UUUUUUAUAUUUCUACUAAUAUUUCGAAAAAUUUUGUUAGUUCGAGUUACUUAUGACCUUCCAAUCCGCCAUAUCCGCCAAGGACGCUCCAAUUAAUUUUUUAGAAUUAUUUUUUAACACAUGUAUUAUUUUUUAACAAUAAAUUAUUCAUGAAAUC
ensembl:lincRNA linc-26 ncRNA